GACGAACGCUGGCGGCGUGCCUAAUACAUGCAAGUAGAACGCUGAAGGAGGAGCUUGCUCUUCUGGAUGAGUUGCGAACGGGUGAGUAACGCGUAGGUAACCUGCCUGGUAGUGGGGGAUAACUAUUGGAAACGAUAGCUAAUACCGCAUAAUAACAGUUGUUGCAUGACAACUGUUUGAAAGGUGCAAUUGCAUCACUACCAGAUGGACCUGCGUUGUAUUAGCUAGUUGGUGGGGUAACGGCUCACCAAGGCGACGAUACAUAGCCGACCUGAGAGGGUGAUCGGCCACACUGGGACUGAGACACGGCCCAGACUCCUACGGGAGGCAGCAGUAGGGAAUCUUCGGCAAUGGACGAAAGUCUGACCGAGCAACGCCGCGUGAGUGAAGAAGGGUUUCGGAUCGUAAAGCUCUGUUGUAAGAGAAGAACGAGGGUGAGAGUGGAAAGUUCACACUGUGACGGUAUCUUACCAGAAAGGGACGGCUAACCACGUG
rnacentral:rRNA from 1 species